GGCGCCUGCGCGCAUGAGCUCCUCUUUGUCGUCUCUUCGAUGGCGUCGAAAGGAUUGGUUUUCUCGCGAUCUUGUGCCGCGGAAUUGAUUGUUUUGGCCGAUUACUAUGUCGUCGACGAGCAUAAUCCUAACAAUUCGCCGACCGUUUCUUCUAAGAACAAUGGGCAGAACGUACCAGUCGAAGUACUUCCCAGGCCAUUGAUGUUUUGAACUUAAAGAGGGUAUCUGUCUCGUUCGUAUUUUGUCUGAUGUCUCCGAUCUCUUCUUAUUGGUGACGUCUCCUUUCGGCAACACACUCCACCACCAAGAAAAAUGUAUCCCAUGGUCAGUUUGCAUUUACAACUCAAGAAACCGGAAACUAUUCCUAUCACCCUUGGAAUUGACUGGAGGAUCGGCAUUUCAGCCAAAGAUUGGGAAAAGAUCCAGCCUCUGUCCUUCCGUUGCGCCUAGCAUGAGAUGGUGCCAUUUGAAAUGGUUUCUUUACAGGGUGUUGGGCUGCCUUCAAUUAUUAACAGGAAGAUAUAUCUAAGACUUCUUUCCACUAGUGCCAAAACCCUAGCUUGAUUGCCCAAGGCCCUGAACAAGAACAUGGCCAUCGCCUUUCCAGAAGAAGAAACUUAUCUAGGCACAAACUUUAUCAAAAGACAACAACUAGGAGAAAAAAGAGGGGUUAUAUCCAUUAUCGUACAUUCGUACGUUUAAUCAUUAGAGAACAUGUCAGACAUGGAGUUUACUAAUCUUUGUCAUUAAUUUUUCAAGGGUUACUUCCGGUUAUAUAUUCA